ACUCCUACGGGAGGCAGCAGUGGGGAAUUUUGGACAAUGGGCGAAAGCCUGAUCCAGCAAUGCCGCGUGCAGGAUGAAGGCCUUCGGGUUGUAAACUGCUUUUGUACGGAACGAAAAAGCUCCUUCUAAUACAGGGGGCCCAUGACGGUACCGUAAGAAUAAGCACCGGCUAACUACGUGCCAGCAGCCGCGGUAAUACGUAGGGUGCGAGCGUUAAUCGGAAUUACUGGGCGUAAAGCGUGCGCAGGCGGUUAUGUAAGACAGAUGUGAAAUCCCCGGGCUCAACCUGGGAACUGCAUUUGUGACUGCAUGGCUAGAGUACGGUAGAGGGGGAUGGAAUUCCGCGUGUAGCAGUGAAAUGCGUAGAUAUGCGGAGGAACACCGAUGGCGAAGGCAAUCCCCUGGACCUGUACUGACGCUCAUGCACGAAAGCGUGGGGAGCAAACAGGAUUAGAAACCCUUGUAGUCCC
rnacentral:rRNA from 1 species